rnacentral:rRNA from 1 species
ACGAGGGUUAUACUGUCUCCUUUCCCCAAUCAGUGAAACUGAUCUCUCCGUGAAAAUUAACCUCCACGAUGAAUGGGCUAACCCCCUUACCCAAGAGCCACACCUCUAAGAAUUAGCAAUCUAUCAUUAACUGAUCCGAUCAUCGAUCAACGAACCAAGUUACCCUGGGGAUAACAGCGCAAUCCACUUUAAGAGCCCCUAUCGACAAGUGGGUUUACGACCUCGAUGUUGGAUCAGGGUAUCCCAGUGGUGCAGCAGCUGCUGAAGGUUCGUUUGU